rnacentral:tRNA from 1 species
GCCUCGUUAGCUCAGUGGUUAGAGCACUGGUCUCGUAAACCAGGGGUCGAGAGUUCAAAUCUCCCACGAGGCU